AAUUCUCUAGUGGCGCACGGGUGAGUAACACGUGAGUAACCUGCCCCCGAGAGCGGGAUAGCCCUGGGAAACUGGGAUUAAUACCGCAUAGUAUCGAAAGAUUAAAGCAGCAAUGCGCUUGGGGAUGGGCUCGCGGCCUAUUAGUUAGUUGGUGAGGUAACGGCUCACCAAGGCGAUGACGGGUAGCCGGUCUGAGAGGAUGUCCGGCCACACUGGAACUGAAACACGGUCCAGACACCUACGGGUGGCAGCAGUCGAGAAUCAUUCACAAUGGGGGAAACCCUGAUGGUGUGACGCCGCGUGGGGGAAUGAAGGUCUUCGGAUUGUAAACCCCUGUCAUGUGGGAGCAAAUUAAAAAGAUAGUACCACAAGAGGAAGAGACGGCUAACUCUGUGCCAGCAGCCGCGGUAAUACAGAGGUCUCAAGCGUUGUUCGGAAUCACUGGGCGUAAAGCGUGCGUAGGCUGUUUCGUAAGUCGUGUGUGAAAGGCGCGGGCUCAACCCGCGGACGGCACAUGAUACUGCGAGACUAGAGUAAUGGAGGGGGAACCGGAAUUCUCGGUGUAGCAGUGAAAUGCGUAGAUAUCGAGAGGAACACUCGUGGCGAAGGCGGGUUCCUGGACAUUAACUGACGCUGAGGCACGAAGGCCAGGGGAGCGAAAGGGAUUAGAUACCCCUGUAGUCCUGGCAGUAAACGGUGCACGCUUGGUGUGCGGGGAAUCGACCCCCUGCGUGCCGGAGCUAACGCGUUAAGCGUGCCGCCUGGGGGAGUACGGUCGCAA
rnacentral:rRNA from 1 species